rnacentral:tRNA from 1 species
GUUAAGAUGGCAGAGCCCGGAAAUUGCGUAAGACUUAAGCCCUUAUUCCCAGAGGUUCAACUCCUCUUCUUAACA